rnacentral:rRNA from 1 species
GAUGAACGCUGGCGGCGUGCAUAACACAUUCAAGUCGAACGGUGAUUUCUCUUCGGAGAAUGAUCAGUGGCGGACGGGUGAGUAACGCGUGAGCAACCUGCCCUUAUGUGGGGGACAACAGUUGGAAACGACUGCUAAUACCGCAUAAUGUUACGAGAUCGCAUGUUCUUGUAACCAAGGAUUUAUUGCGUAAGGAUGGGCUCGCGUUGGAUUAGAUAGUUGGUGAGGUAACGGCCCACCAAGUCUACGAUCCAUAGCCGGACUGAGAGGUUGAACGGCCACAUUGGAACUGAGAAACGGUCCAG